GGAUGAAGAUAAGGACCACAAGAAAGGAAUCCAAGAUCCGGAUAAAUACCAAGAGGAGUUGGUAAACAAAUACGACAGGCAGUUUAAAGAAAGCGAUGGUUUUGAAUACGACUAUUGGCCGGUGACAAUGAAUUGGCUUGGUCUUGGUCAACGCGUCCAUCUCGAAAAGGAUACUGUGUAUGCUGAACAGGUCAAAGAGGCCCUUGACUUUGCUAUUAGGAAACAGAAUGAAAAGGAGGCAAAUCUUGAAGUCGAUAAAAUUCUUAUAGCAACC